AAGUCCCAGAAGGGCGCGCGGCAUCAACAGCGGGCACGUCUAUUCCUAGGGCGACAUAUUUUGCAUAAUCUGGUCGCUGGGUCCUAUAGUGGCCAGUGGGUUCUGCGCGUUGCUUCUCUUGGCAUCUUCCUUCCUCAUCCUAAAACAGUCACCAUGAAGGAUGCGCUGGUACUGCAGAGCCGCGUCCCGGCGCACCCGGAUUCCCGCUGCUGGUUCCUGGCCUGGAACCCCACGGGAACCUUGUUGGCCUCAUGCGGAGGCGACCGUAAAAUUCGCAUCUGGGGCACCGAGGGUGACAGCUGGAUUUGCAAGUCUGUCCUUUCUGAAGGCCAUCAGCGCACCGUUAGGAAAGUGGCCUGGUCCCCCUGUGGAAAUUACCUGGCAUCUGCCAGCUUUGAUGCUACUACUUGCAUUUGGAAGAAGAACCAGGAUGACUUUGAGUGUGUGACCACUCUUGAGGGUCAUGAGAAUGAGGUCAAGUCAGUGGCUUGGGCCCCAUCUGGCAACCUCUUGGCUACCUGCAGCAGAGAUAAGAGCGUGUGGGUCUGGGAAGUUGAUGAAGAAGAUGAGUAUGAAUGCGUCAGUGUCCUCAAUUCUCACACACAGGAUGUUAAGCAUGUGGUUUGGCACCCAAGCCAGGAGGUAAGAGUGAGACAAGGUAGGAAAGAACCUGAUUAGAGGUUUGUGCCUAGCCUGCUUCCCUCUUCCAAAUCACCCUCGUUCUUACAGGAAUCUCUGGGACUGUCCUGCUCUGACAGAGUUUGAUAUAGGAACCAUUGUGUCUUAGUUGGGUUUUAGUGCUGUGAAGAGACACCAUGACCAAGGCAACUUUCAUAAAGGAAAGUAUUUAACUGGGGCUGGCUUACAGAUUCAGAGGUCCAGUCCAUUAUCAUCAAGGCAGGAAGCAUGGCAACAGGCAGGCAGACAUAGAGCUGGAGAGGGAGCUGAGAGUUCUACAUCUUGACCCGAAGGCAACCAAGAGACUGGUAUCCAGGCUGCUAGGAGAGGGUCUCAAAGUCUGCCUGCAAAGUGACUUUCUUGGUUAGUGUUUUAUUGCUGUGAACAGACACCAUGGCCAAUGCAAGUUUUAUAAAGGACAACAUUUAAUUGGGGCUGGCUUAGAUUCAGAGGUUCAGUUCAUUACCAUCAUGGCAGGAAGCAUGGCAGCAUCCAGGCAGACAUGGUGCUGAAGAAGAGUUCUGAAGGAAGCCAGGAACAAACUGGGCAUCCUCAGGCAGCUAGGAGUAGGGUUUCCAAGCCCACCCCACAGUGACACACUUCCUCCAACAAGACCACACCUUCUAAUAGUGCCACUCCCUGAGCUAAGCAUAUGCAAACCAUCACAUUUCACUCUCUGGACCCCAUAGGCUUGUUCAAACAUGAGUCUGUGGGGGCCAUAUCUAAACAUAGCAUAAUGGAAAAUGUGACCCACUUCUUCCAAUAAAGUCACACCUCCUAAUAGUGCCACUCCCUGAGCCAUGCAUAUUCAAACCAUGGGCACCUCCUGGACCAUACAGGCAAAUGCUGGAUCUCCUUCCUCACUCUUUCAGCUUUUAGCUUCUGCUAGCUAUGAUGACACAGUGAAGCUAUACCAGGAAGAAGGGGAUGACUGGGUCUGCUGUGCUACCCUUGAAGGUCACGAGUCCACUGUAUGGAGCAUAGCCUUUGAUCCCAGCGGCCAGCGUCUGGCAUCUUGCAGUGAUGACCGAACUGUGCGCAUCUGGCGCCAGUAUCUACCUGGCAAUGAACAAG